GACGAACGCUGGCGGCGUGCUUAACACAUGCAAGUCGAGCGAUGAAGUUCCUUCGGGAAUGGAUUAGCGGCGGACGGGUGAGUAACACGUGGGUAACCUGCCUCAUAGAGGGGAAUAGCCUUUCGAAAGGAAGAUUAAUACCGCAUAAAAUUGUAGUGCCGCCUGGCAUAGCAAUUAAAGGAGUAAUCCGCUAUGAGAUGGACCCGCGUCGCAUUAGCUAGUUGGUGAGGUAACGGCUCACCAAGGCGACGAUGCGUAGCCGACCUGAGAGGGUGAUCGGCCACAUUGGGACUGAGACACGGCCCAGACUCCUACGGGAGGCAGCAGUGGGGAAUAUUGCACAAUGGGGGAAACCCUGAUGCAGCAACACCGCGUGAGUGAUGACGGUCUUCGGAUUGUAAAGCUCUGUCUUCAGGGACGAUAAUGACGGUACCUGAGGAGGAAGCCACGGCUAACUACGUGCCAGCCGCCGCGGUAA
rnacentral:rRNA from 1 species